rnacentral:tRNA from 1 species
GCCUUCGUGGUGUAAAGGUAGCACACUCGACACCUAUUCGAGAGAUCCAGGUUCGAUUCCUAACGGAAGCA